CCUUUGAGUGUCGCAGGUACCCGUUAAAUACCCGGGUUUUUUUAAAAAAAAAAAAAAUUUCUUGGCUGGAACUCAAAUUAGGGUUACUUACUCAUCUCUCUCCUCAUACAAUCAGUAGCCGCAUCUCAAUUCUCAAGCUUACCCCUCUUCUCUCUCCUCUCUCCUCUUUCCUCGCUCACUCUCAAUUUUCAAACACACACUCUCAGGCGACCCUCCUUCAUUCCUCUCAGACGACCGACGUCCUCCCUCUCAGGCGAACCUCGGUCGAUCGUCACUCCCUCACCGACCACCGUCAGCCGCGUAAGGGGUUAAGACUUGGUUUUGGAGCAACCAACAAUUAUCAUCAAUGAGGCAAUUGAAGCUUCGGAUGUCACAAGCGACUGAAAUGAUCCUCUCUCCCAUUUAGUUUGAUUUGUGGCUUUGAAAUAUUAUUUGGACUUUGUAAUAUAUUUGGUUGUUUUGUUUUAAUUUGAUGUAAACUCCUUAAACUCUCUGAACUCUCUCUAGCUAGACACCUUGAACUUUGAACUUUAACAGCAGGUUUAUAAGUCCA